rnacentral:rRNA from 1 species
GACGAACGCGGGCGGCGUGCGUAAUACAUGCAAGUAGAACGCUGAAGGAGGAGCUUGCUCUUCUGGAUGAGUUGCGAACGGGUGAGUAACGCGUAGGUAACCUGCCUGGUAGCGGGGGAUAACUAUUGGAAACGAUAGCUAAUACCGCAUAAGAGUAGAUGUUGCAUGACAUUUACUUAAAAGGUGCAAUUGCAUCACUACCAGAUGGACCUGCGUUGUAUUAGCUAGUUGGUGGGGUAACGGCUCACCAAGGCGACGAUACAUAGCCGACCUGAGAGGGUGAUCGGCCACACUGGGACUGAGACACGGCCCAGACUCCUACGGGAGGCAGCAGUAGGGAAUCUUCGGCAAUGGACGGAAGUCUGACCGAGCAACGCCGCGUGAGUGAAGAAGGUUUUCGGAUCGUAAAGCUCUGUUGUAAGAGAAGAACGAGUGUGAGAGUGGAAAGUUCACACUGUGACGGUAUCUUACCAGAAAGGGACGGCUAACUACGUGCCAGCAGCCGCGGUAAUACGUAGGUCCCGAGCGUUGUCCGGAUUUAUUGGGCGUAAAGCGAGCGCAGGCGGUUAGAUAAGUCUGAAGUUAAAGGCUGUGGCUUAACCAUAGUACGCUUUGGAAACUGUUUAACUUGAGUGCAAGAGGGGAGAGUGGAAUUCCAUGUGUAGCGGUGAAAUGCGUAGAUAUAUGGAGGAACACCGGUGGCGAAAGCGGCUCUCUGGCUUGUAACUGACGCUGAGGCUCGAAAGCGUGGGGAGCAAACAGG